GCAAGGGUAACUAAGCUUGGCCAAAGGUGUAGGACUUAAGAUUCUAUCUCGAAGGAGUUCGCGGGUUCAAAUCCCGUCCCUUGCA
rnacentral:tRNA from 5 species